rnacentral:rRNA from 1 species
GACGAACGCUGGCGGCGUGCUUAACACAUGCAAGUCGAACGGAAAGGCCCUGCUUUUGUGGGGUGCUCGAGUGGCGAACGGGUGAGUAACACGUGAGUAACCUGCCCUUGACUUUGGGAUAACUUCAGGAAACUGGGGCUAAUACCGGAUAGGAGCUCCUGCUGCAUGGUGGGGGUUGGAAAGUUUCGGCGGUUGGGGAUGGACUCGCGGCUUAUCAGCUUGUUGGUGGGGUAGUGGCUUACCAAGGCGUUGACGGGUAGCCGGCCUGAGAGGGUGACCGGCCACAUUGGGACUGGGAUACGGCCCCGACUCCUCCGGGAGGCCGCAGUGGGGAAUAUUGCACAAUGGGCGGAAGCCUGAUGCAGCCACGCCGCGUGCGGGAUGACGGCCUUCGGGUUGUAAACCGCUUUCGCCUGUGACGAAGCGUGAGUGACGGUAAUGGGUAAAGAAGCACCGGCUAACUACGUG